GAUGAAGAACGCAGCGAAAUGCGAUACGUAAUGUGAAUUGCAGAAUUCAGUGAAUCAUCGAGUCUUUGAACGCACAUUGCGCCCCCUGGUAUUCCGGGGGGCAUGCCUGUCCGAGCGUCAUUGCUGCCCUCAAGCACGGCUUGUGUGUUGGGCCUCCGUCCUCCUCCCGGGGGACGGGCCCGAAAGGCAGCGGCGGCACCGCGUCCGGUCCUCGAGCGUAUGGGGCUUCGUCACCCGCUCUUGUAGGCCCGGCCGGCGCUUGCCGACACAUCAAUCUUUUUUCCAGGUUGACCUCGGAUCAGGUAGGGAUACCCGCUGAACUUAAGCAUAUCAAUAAGCGGACGA
rnacentral:misc_RNA from 1 species